ensembl:lncRNA
GAAAAAACCAAAAGGAAAGGGAAAAAGCCAGCGCGCUGAAGCACUGUUGUCCAACACUGACUCUUUUUGAAGUCAGCUGUCUGCACAUGUACACAGCGGCUCACUUAAAAGCUGUUUGAAAAUCAGAUUGCAUGUGUGCUUCUGUGUUUCGUAGCCAUGCGUGUGCUUUUGCACACACGUGUGCGUCUGUUUGCAUGCACUCUCGGCAGCAGGAGGCUGUAACGUGUACCAUGCACACUCUGUAAUCACCGCUGUUUAUGACUGCAUAAAAUAACACUCGCUCGCUCUUUCUGUCCCCCUUCCCUCACUUUUACAGACACACAUUUACAGCUGCUGUCUCACUGGCUGUGUGAUUAUCACCGUCUGGUUCGGGGCUCUUAUCAGUGUUGUGAUGGAAGUGCGCACGCACACAACACACCUUCAGCCUGCCUGGCUCUCUCCUUCACUUUUCCUUCUCUUUUUCUUCCUCUUUCUAUUCCUCUUGCUCAGCUGUGUCGCGUCCUUUCCCCAGCGGCAUCGUGGUGUUGCGUCUGCGCUUGCCUUGCCGAGCUGUGUGCCAGUUGAGGAUUGGCAUUAAAGCCAGACAUGAGCUCAUCGGCCCAGCUGGGCAGACAGCCCAUUACAAUGCUCAGCAGAGCCCUACCGCAGGGGUGAAAAGAGCUCAAUACCUGCUGAUUAUCUACUCUUCCUCUCUGUCUGUGCCUCUAUGUCCCUCCCUCACUCACUCACUGGCUUUUGCUUUCACUUUGUUUCUUCUUUUUUUUGUUGGCACCUCUCUGCUUUUUUUUUCUCUGUUAUUCCUCGACUUUUUCCUUUUUCUUACCUUUUUCUUCUACUGUCCAUUAUUUUUUUUAUCUUCCCUUUAUUCGUUUUUUCUUUUAUAUUCCCACUUUCUUUUAUUUUCUCUUCCCUGUUUUUCCCUCUUCUUUUCUCUCUUCCUGUGUUUUAUCUCUUUUUCUCCUCAUACAUUUUCUUCUUCUAUGCUUUCCUUUUAUCUUGCCUUGUCUUUUCCUCCUGUCCUCCUUUUGCUCACCUUCUCUUCUUUUUUUUUCUUCUCAUCUUCUCUUCAUUCAUCCCUUUACUCUCAGUAUCCUCCACCUCAGGCUCUGUCUCUCUCUUCGUGAACUGUUUUAUUCACACACACACACACACACACACACACACACACUCUGCAUAUUUCUGUCUGCUCUGUCAUCCCCCUUUCUCUUCUUCUAGCUAUCUGUCUCUGACACACACAUGCAUAACUUUUCACUGAGAGCUGUGGUGUCAUUGCAGUGGAGCCUGCGGCAGUAAGAGAGGUAGGGAGGGGUAUUCUUUUCAAAUGACAGGGGUGUAAGUGAGGUGUGUGCAUUUGUGUGUGUGUGUGUGUGUGUGUGUGUGUGAAAAUGACAGGGGUGGGAAGCCAGACAGCUGGUGCACCUGUGUGGACAGGAUAUGACACGGCACUGCAGCCAGACAAGGGCAGGAAGCUGCAAAUAUGAUGUGGCAUGCCAGACGUUUUUAUUGAACGCAACUCUCUACUCUGCAAUCUGACUGUCUGGAGUGGCCUU